CAAACCACAUAACCAAAUGUGCCAAGAUAAUCCUGAGCUCACUCAUUGUCAGACUUUCAAAGUGGAAAAAAUAAACAACAUCAAUGUGGUAAAAUACCUAAGAAGAUAAUGGCUGUAAAUCUUUGAGAACUGAUGAGAGAAAGACUCUAAAGUUUCAGGAAAAAUAUAUCAGGAAGCCUGAUAUAUCCUGCAGGAACAAGGAAAAAUAAAAAGAAACCUAUGCUUACUACAUCAUAGCAGAACUGCAAAAUGGCAAAGGCAAAGAGAAGAUCUUAAAAGUGCUCAGAGCAAAAAAGACAGAUCAUCAGAAAGGAAAGAAGAAAAUUGAUUGACAGUUGAAUAACAGCAGCAGUGGACACCAGAAGAUAGUUCAAAUACUUUCAAAGUGCUUAGAAAAAACAAAAGCCAGUCCAAAAUUGUGUAUCCAGCAAAAGUAUCUUUCAAGAAUAAGGAUGAGGACCAAGAUGAGGUUAACAGGGAUCCACCUGAAAAAACUAA
ensembl:lncRNA novel transcript, antisense to OR11H12